rnacentral:rRNA from 1 species
GAUGAACGCUGGCGGCGUGCCUAAUACAUGCAAGUCGAGCGAACGGACGAGAAGCUUGCUUCUCUGAUGUUAGCGGCGGACGGGUGAGUAACACGUGGAUAACCUACCUAUAAGACUGGGAUAACUUCGGGAAACCGUAGCUAAUACCGGAUAAUAUUUUGAACCGCAUGGUUCAAAAGUGAAAGACGGUCUUGCUGUCACUUAUAGAUGGAUCCGCGCUGCAUUAGCUAGUUGGUAAGGUAACGGCUUACCAAGGCAACGAUGCAUAGCCGACCUGAGAGGGUGAUAGGCCACACUGAAACUAAGACACGGUCAGACUCCUACGGGAGGCAGCAGUAGGGAAUCUUCCGCAAUGGGCGAAAGCCUGACGGAGCAACGCCGCGUGAGUGAUGAAGGUCUUCGGAUCGUAAAACUCUGUUAUUAGGGAAGAACAUAUGUGUAAGUAACUGUGCACAUCUUGACGGUACCUAAUCAGAAAGCCACGGCUAACUACGUG